GCCGCGGUUACGUCUUUGACACUUAGCGUUUAAUUGUCAACACGUGCGAGUCGUUUUCUAAAGAAUUGUCAAUUACAUAUGCGAUUAAUUGGAAUUAUCGACACUAUUAUUUGGUAUCCAUGGUAAAAGAACGACAUGUAAAGUAUCUUCGUAAAACUAACUUUGAUGGAUGAAUUGAUUUGAAUACCGAGCAAACUUCUAGGCAUGUAACACACUGGCUAUUCGGGUACCUACUCGUGUGAGCGAUACCGCCCUCGUGUGAUUAAUGUACAUGUUGGUGAACAGGAAAUUCACACCUAUAACAGUACAGCGGAUACCGUCCUCGUUAUUGAAAUGAACAUUACACACUGGUUAUUCGGGUACCUACUCGUGUGAGCGAUACCGCCCUCGUGUGAUUAAUGUACAUGUUGGUGAACAGCAAUUCACACCUAUAACAGAAAUAACACUAACUCCCGUAAUGGUCAAGGUCAGAGAGGAAGAGGUCAAGGUCAACAUGGAAACGCGUGGAGAGGUCGUGGUCAUGGAAACAGACAUAGCUAGGUUUCCAUUGGGUUUUGGAAUGUCAACGGUUUUAGUACAAAAACAGACAGUGACAAUUUCUCUUUGAGAUAUGAUUAUAUAAAACAUCUGGAUUUUGACAUUUUAGGCAUAGCUGAGACACAUUUAAUAGAUAAUAAUGUAUUAAAUUUACCAGGAUAUGUCUGGUUUGGAAAUAAUAGGAAACUAAUUCAUGUAAAUGCGAGAACAGGGUCUGGUGGUGUUGGU